CGCGAAACAAGUUGAGCUAACUUAUUACGUUUCUUAGAACUAAGUAUGUGGCAUAAUAUAAUACGAUCAUAAGUUAGGAGUGAUAGGCUAAUCACAUCUUGUGAUAUCUCGAUUCUCUAGAAUUGCAACAGUGCGGUUACAACUAAAGAGUGAUUAGGCUUUUUAAUAUUACUAAUAUAUGCUUUUUUCCUUUCUAUGGCUUAGUCGUCAAGAGGAAUAGAACAGAAUAUUGUUAUAUAUAAUUUGUAUUUUUUAUAGGGAACUUUUGAACACUCAGCGGAUUUUAUAAUGUUAAUAUAAGUAAUCUAUAGGAACUAUUAAUGAAUUCGGCAAUAUUUCUUUCACCUGUUUACCAAAAACAUCGCCAUUUGAAACUAUUGAUGGUAUUUUCUGCUCCAUGAUUUUUAAAUAGCCGCAGUACCCUGACUGUGCAAAGGUAGCGUAAUCAUUUGACUUUUAAUUGAAGUCCUGUAUGAAUGAAAGGAUGGGGGAAAGCUUUAUCUGUGGUUUAUUCUGAACUUAAUUAGUAAGUGAAAAUGCUUACAUACAAAUAAUAGACGAGAAGACCCUAGAAAUUUUCAUGAUAUGUGCUAGGCGAUUUUUGUUGGGGCAACAUAGUAGCAGGUUAACCUACACUAUAAAACACGAAAUAUGAUAGUUAGUUUAAAUUACUCUAGGGAUAACAGCGUAAUAUUUAAUUGUUUGCGACCUCGAUGUUGGACUAGGAAUCGAUUGCUUAGAA
rnacentral:rRNA from 1 species